rnacentral:rRNA from 1 species
GAUGAACGCUGGCGGCGUGCUUAACACAUGCAAGUCGAACGGUGAAGCAGGAGCUUGCUCGUGUGGAUCAGUGGCGAACGGGUGAGUAACAUGUGAGCAACCUGCCCCUGACUCUGGGAUAAGCGCUGGAAACGGCGUCUAAUACUGGAUAUGUGAUGUGACCGCAUGGUCUGCAUCUGGAAAGAAUUUCGGUUGGGGAUGGGCUCGCGGCCUAUCAGCUUGUUGGUGAGGUAAUGGCUCACCAAGGCGUCGACGGGUAGCCGGCCUGAGAGGGUGACCGGCCACACUGGGACUGAGACACGGCCCAGACUCCUACGGGAGGCAGCAGUGGGGAAUAUUGCACAAUGGGCGGAAGCCUGAUGCAGCAACGCCGCGUGAGGGAUGACGGCCUUCGGGUUGUAAACCUCUUUUAGCAGGGAAGAAGCGUAAGUGACGGUACCUGCAGAAAAAGCACCGGCUAACUACGUGCCAGCCGCCGCGGUAA